rnacentral:rRNA from 1 species
UAAGGAAUAUUGGUCAAUGGGCGCAAGCCUGAACCAGCCAUCCAGCGUGCAGGAAGACGGCCCUAUGGGUUGUAAACUGCUUUAGUCAGGGAAUAAACCCCUGGAUUUACUCCGGGGCUGAAGGUACCUGAAGAAUAAGCACCGGCUAACUCCGUG